rnacentral:rRNA from 1 species
ACAGCAGUCGCCGCGUAAUACGGAGGGAGCUAGCGUUGUUCGGAAUUACUGGGCGUAAAGCGCACGUAGGCGGCUUUGUAAGUUAGAGGUGAAAGCCUGGAGCUCAACUCCAGAACUGCCUUUAAGACUGCAUCGCUUGAAUCCAGGAGAGGUGAGUGGAAUUCCGAGUGUAGAGGUGAAAUUCGUAGAUAUUCGGAAGAACACCAGUGGCGAAGGCGGCUCACUGGACUGGUAUUGACGCUGAGGUGCGAAAGCGUGGGGAGCAAACAGGAUUAGAUACCCCCGUAGUCCCUGUCUCUUAUACA